rnacentral:rRNA from 1 species
GACAGAGGAGGCAAGCGUUAUCCGGAAUUACUGGGCGUAAAGCGUCCGUAGGUGGUCUGGCAAAUCUGGGGUUAAAGCCCGGAGCCUAACUCCGGAUCAGCCCUGGAAACUGCCAGACUAGAGUAAGGUAGGGGUUGCGGGAAGUCCCGGUGUAGCGGUGAAAUGCGUAGAUAUCGGGAAGAACACCUGAGGCGAAAGCGCGCAACUGGGCCCGAACUGACGCUGAGGUACGAAAGCUAGGGGAGCGAAUGGG